rnacentral:rRNA from 1 species
ACAGGGGGAUAGCCUUUCGAAAGAGAGAUUAAUACCCCGUAAUAAAUUGAAAUGGCAUCAGUUUGAUUUUGAAAGCUCCGGCGGUUUAAGAUGAGUAUGCGUCUGAUUAGCUAGUUGGUGAGGUAACGGCUCACCAAGGCGACGAUCAGUAGGGGAUCUGAGAGGACUAACCCCCACACUGGUACUGAGACACGGACCAGACUCCUACGGGAGGCAGCAGUAAGGAAUAUUGGUCAAUGGAGGCAACUCUGAACCAGCCAUGCCGCGUGCAGGAUGACGGCCCUAUGGGUUGUAAACUGCUUUUGUACCAGAGAAAACCCCAGUACGUGUACUGGGUUGAUAGUAUGGUAAGAAUAAGCAUCGGCUAACUUCGUGCCAGCAGCCGCGGUAAGACGAAGGAUGCAAGCGUUAUCCGGAUUCAUUGGGUUUAAAGGGUGCGUAGGCGGACUUGUAAGUCAGUGGUGAAAUCUCUCAGCUUAACUGAGAAACUGCCAUUGAUACUGCAGGUCUAGAGUAUAGAUGACGUUGGCGGAAUAUGACAUGUAGUGGUGAAAUACUUAGAUGUGUCAUAGAACACCGAUUGCGAAGGCAGCUAACGAAACUAUAACUGACGCUGAGGCACGAAAGUGCGGGGAUCAAACAGGAUUAGAUACCCUGGUAGUCCGCACCGUAAACGAUGAUUACUCGUUGUUGGCGAUAUGACAGUCAGCGACCAAGCGAAAGCGAUAAGUAAUCCACCUGGGGAGUACGCCG